rnacentral:rRNA from 1 species
GAUGAACGCUGGCGGCGUGCUUAACACAUGCAAGUCGAACGAAGAUGCCGGAGUGCUUGCACUUUGGCAGACUGAGUGGCGGACGGGUGAGUAACGCGUGGGUAACCUGCCUUAUACAGGGGGAUAACAGUUGGAAACGACUGCUAAUACCGCAUAAGCGCACGGUAUCGCAUGAUACAGUGUGAAAAACUCCGGUGGUAUAAGAUGGACCCGCGUCUGAUUAGCUAGUUGGUGAGGUAACGGCCCACCAAGUCGACGAUCAGUAGCCGGACUGAGAGGUUGAACGGCCACAUUGGGACUGAGAUACGGCCCAGACUCCUACGGGAGGCAGCAGUCGGGAAUAUUGCGCAAUGGAGGAAACUCUGACGCAGUGACGCCGCGUAUAGGAAGAAGGUUUUCGGAUUGUAAACUAUUGUCGUUAGGGAAGAUACAAGACAGUACCUAAGGAGGAAGCUCCGGCUAACUACGUG